GCCUCAGGCGAACCAACAUGGCAGCGUGCAAUAUUGCAUGGCCCAAAACAGCGAUCAAGAGCUUGGUACGUAUGACCAACGAUCGAGCAAUCAUUUGUAAGCGCUUAAUGAAUGCCUUUAUCAAGCCGUUCUAGGUGUGAACAUGGGCUAUUGGAUGUUUAACUUCAACCCCAAUUGACAUGCAAUAGUAUCAAAAGUUUUAGAUGUGAAUUCUCCAGCAUUAUUUGGUUGGAUAAUCAGGGUGCUGAGCCCUAAGGUUGAUAACCUGAGCCAACAUUUUGGAGAAUGCGGUGUUCCGUAUGGACAACAAGCAAACAUGUGACCAACGAGUGGAACCGUCUACCAAAACUAUAAAGUAUCUAAAUGGUCUGCAUGGAGGGUGAAUCAAUCCACAAAUGUCCCCCCUAAAUCCAUUGUAGGAAAAUAGGAGGAUUCGAACGAAUCUUCUCAUAAGAAGGCUUAAUAAUAAGCUUUCCCAUGGAGUAGGCUUUGUAAUGACCAGUUUCAAAAAUUUCAUUUUACUUAGUUAAAAUUACAAAAAUAUCCUUAAUGACGGAAACAUUGACUUUUGUCCUUUGACGUAUUAGAAAUUUUCAUUUAUUUUAUUCCUGUAGCUCUUGUCGAUAUGAAUGCGUAAGUGUGACUGGAAUCGAGUUUGGAGCUAAAAUGAACCUUUUCCAAUUUUUGUACAAUAGGGUAAUCAAGUAAUUUCAUAAGUGGAGAUUUUUCUCCACUUUAGGCCUCUAUAUGGCCGACACGUGGUGAUUCCCCACCCCAUUUCUGGGGUGUUUUCUUCCCCACUCGUGAACUCUCUCUUUCUAGAACACUUUCUAGAACACCCGCUCUCUCUCGUCUCUACUUUAUUCUCUCAUCUCCAGUGAGCUCACACACACACAUACAUACGUACAUUGACCAUCACCAUCACAACCACACAAUUUUCACCACCUGGUCCUUCCUCUCUCUCCCUCGCCUCUUCGAUCCCACUCUAUCUCCUUCUCGGCACUAUGCACAAUCACCGUGCAUGUGAUUUUCCUACGAUGUAAGUCGAUCCCACCCCUAAAUACUUCUAGAUCGAGUUUGGUAGGGUGAUUAGGUAGUUUUUAAGACGUUUUAGGAUGGUUUUGGUCGCAGAAAUACUUGGAGGAAUCCUUUCCAUGUUUUUUGGCGAGUACCACACAUUUACAGAGGGAUUUCUGGCUAAUGCCAAUGAUAACUCGGCCCCAUUUUGGUACGACCUUGUCCUCCAUGUUUCUCCCUUAAAUAUGGUUUUUAAAUCAUUGUUUUUAGUUGAGCUUUGACCCUAAAAUGGAGUCGGGAAAACUCUCAGCUAAAUUUUGCCCUUCUUCUUCACUGGGU
rnacentral:lncRNA from 1 species